rnacentral:lncRNA from 1 species
AGGGAGGAGGGAGGAGGUGGAGACAGGGAGAGGGAGGGAGGAGGGAGGACACGGAGACCGGGAGAGGGAGGGAGGAGGGAGGAGGCGGAGACUGGGAGAGGGAGAGGGAGAGGAGGCGGAAAAGGAGGCUAGGGUUUUUCUGCUGGGUGUUCGUCUCUAAACCCGACAACUUUAGCCAACGAAAUUAUUAUUUCGUCGGCUAAAGAUACAAAUCUCGUCGGCUAAGAUAAAACUCGUCGGCUAAAACCUUUGAAAUUCGUCGGCUAAACAUUUGCAAUUCGUCUGCUAAACCUUUGAAAUUUGUCGGCUAAACCUUUGAAAUUCAUCGGCUAACAGUUGAAAUUCGUCGGCUUAAGUACUUUUAUACAUUCGGCACAUUGUGAUUGUGAUGAUCAAACUUGAGAAACAAAAAUCCGACCGUCAGAUCUGACCAUCAUGACAAAAUACAUGUAUGGGAAAUAAUUCAACUUGAUCCGACAAGGUUAAGGGCUCGAUCCGGACGGUC